UCUUCGGAUCUAGUGGCGGACGGGUGCGUAACGCGUGGGAAUAUACCCUUGGGUACGGAAUAACUCACCGAAAGGUGUGCUAAUACCGUAUAAUGACUUCGGUCCAAAGAUUCAUCGCCCAUGGAUUAGCCCGCGUUAGAUUAGUUUGUUGGUGGGGUAAUGGCCUACCAAGACUACGAUCUAUAGCUGGUCUGAGAGGAUGAUCAGCCACACUGGGACUGAGACACGGCCCAGACUCCUACGGGAGGCAGCAGUGGGGAAUAUUGGGCAAUGGGCGAAAGCCUGACCCAGCCAUGCCGCGUGAGUGAUGACGGCCCUAGGGUUGUAAAGCUCUUUCAAUGGUGAAGAUAAUGACGGUAACCAUAGAAGAAGCCCCGGCUAACUUCGUGCCAGCAGCCGCGGUAAUACGAAGGGGGCAAGCGUUGUUCGGAAUUACUGGGCGUAAAGGGCGCGUAGGCGGUCCGUUAAGUCAGAUGUGAAAGCCCAGGGCUCAACCCUGGAACUGCAUUUGAUACUGGCGGACUUGAGUAUCAGAGAGGUAAGCGGAAUUCCCAGUGUAGAGGUGAAAUUCGUAGAUAUUGGGAGGAACACCAGUUGCGUAGGCGGCUUACUGGCUGAUGACUGACGCUGAGGCGCGAAAGCGUGGGGAGCAAACAGGAUUAGAUGCCCUGGUAGUCCACGCCGUAAACGAUGUAUACUAGUUGUCGGGUUUAACUCGGUGACUGAGCUAACGUAUUAAGUAUACCGCCUGGGGAGUACGGCCGCAAGGCUAAAACUCAAAGGAAUUGACGGGGACCCGCACAAGCGGUGGAGCAUGUUGCUUAAUCCGAUGAUACGCGAGAAACCUUACCCGCUCUUGACAUGUAUGUUGUGACUUCUGGAAACAGAUAUCUUUGGUUCGCCCAGGCAUACACAGGUGUUGCAUGGCCGUCGUCAGCUCGUGUCGUGAGAUGUUCGGUUAAGUCCGGCAACGAGCGCAACCCCUUUCAUUAGUUGCCAGCAUUUAGUUGGGGACUCUAAUGAUACUGCCGGUGAUAAGCCGGAGGAAGGUGGGGAUGACGUCAGGUCAUCAUGGCCCUUACGAGCGGGGCUGCAAACGUGCUACAAUGGUGGUGACAGUGGGCAGCGACACAGCAAUGUGAAGCGAAUCCCAAAAAACCAUCUCAGUUCGGAUUGGGGGCUGCAACUCGCCCCCAUGAAGUCGGAAUCGCUAGUAAUCGUAGAUCAGAAUGCUACGGUGAAUACGUUCCCGGGUCUUGUACACACCGCCCGUCAAGUCAUGGGAGUUGGUUCUACCUGAAGAUAGUUCGCUAACCGUAAGGGGGCAGCUAGCCACGGUAGGAUCAGUGACUGGGACUAAGUCGUAACAAGGUA
rnacentral:rRNA from 1 species